UAGGCCUAACACAUGCAAGUCGAGCGCGAAAGCUCUUCGGAGUGAGUAGAGCGGCGGACGGGUGAGUAACGCGUAGGAAUCUACCCAGUAGUGGGGGACAACUUGGGGAAACUCAAGCUAAUACCGCAUACGCCCUAUGGGGGAAAGCGGGGGACCUUCGGGCCUCGUGCUAUUGGAUGAGCCUGCGUUGGAUUAGCUAGUUGGUGGGGUAAAGGCCCACCAAGGCGACGAUCCAUAGCUGGUCUGAGAGGAUGAUCAGCCACACUGGGACUGAGACACGGCCCAGACUCCUACGGGAGGCAGCAGUGGGGAAUAUUGCGCAAUGGGCGAAAGCCUGACGCAGCCAUGCCGCGUGUGUGAAGAAGGCCCUAGGGUUGUAAAGCACUUUCACUUGGGAGGAAAGGUUCGUAGUUAAUAGCUGCGAGCUGUGACGUUACCUUGAGAAGAAGCACCGGCUAACUCCGUGCCAGCAGCCGCGGUAAUACGGAGGGUGCGAGCGUUAAUCGGAAUUACUGGGCGUAAAGCGCGCGUAGGCGGUUUGUUAAGUCGGAUGUGAAAGCCCCGGGCUCAACCUGGGAAUUGCACCCGAUACUGGCCGACUGGAGUGCGAGAGAGGGAGGUAGAAUUCCACGUGUAGCGGUGAAAUGCGUAGAUAUGUGGAGGAAUACCGGUGGCGAAGGCGGCCUCCUGGCUCGACACU
rnacentral:rRNA from 1 species